CGGGGCGUGGCGGAAUGGUAGACGCGACGGAUUCAAAAUCCGUUUCAGCAAUGAGUGCCGGUUCGAGUCCGGCCGCCCCUACCA
rnacentral:tRNA from 1 species